AGCAAAAUUAUCGAAUUAAUUAUACACUUGUUCACUUUACCAUUACUACACUUUAUUCUUACAUUUUAUUGCACAGUUUUUAUUAGGAAUUGUUCUAAAGAUCACUUAAUAUUAAAUGUUUAUGCUUGAUAAACUUAUAUACUAAAUAUUUAUAGCUGCAUCGAUUUACUGUUAAACAUGACGUACACCGUAAUACUUUCGCAUUAAUUAAAGACGAUCAACAUAUUCGCUUUGUUAUUGCUACACUCUCAAAUAUGCAAACUAAAGUGUUUACAUUAACGUAGCGUCCCGGACGAUGUUAAUACAAAGCAACGCAUUCUUCGUCGCGAUGUACCGAUGUAAUCACGAUUGUAAACAAUAGCACGGUGCAAGUUCAAGAGAAGAUAUUAGCAUCGUUCGAAUUCCCUUACAAGAAAAAAGAACCUACGAAUAAAAUAACCUGCAAUCUAUCAUCCAUGGAUCGACAUCGAUCUGUCAAUUGGCAGGAAGAGGCUGCAAAGAACGGGAUCAAGAAGCAUGUAGGACAAAAACAUGGGUACUACGAGCGGUACUCGUUUACGGAAUAGUACUAGGAAUGGGCGUGAUGGGGACAGGGACAGGCUCUGCUCUUAAGUUAGGUUAGGUUACCAGACAUGACAUCACGCACGCAACAUCGAGCAACCAGAGAAAACACGCACGGUGAAGAAAGAGACAGAAAUAACAAGUAUAUGUUGAUUUGGAAAAUUUCGUCUGUGAUCAGAUGAACCUCACACUGAGACGAGACGAGAGACUCAAAAGCCGAGUGAAACGAGCUUAAGGAGUCGACGGUCGGUCAAUCGUCAGUCGGUAAGCAACUGAGAGAGAAGGAGGAUGCUGGGAGAAAAGAGUACCGGUCUGUUCAAAGCAUCCAACACAGCGGAUAGUAACUGCUUAAAGGCCACUGGCCGACCCGACGGAUGAUUUAUACGACCCGUUAUGUCGUGCCCAUGUCUCACUUUUCCUUUUGUCCUGCUCCACAGACUUUCCAAAUUGCUUCUCCCAUUCAGUUUCUUCCUACUCGAGCAGACACUGGCAUACCAGUGCACGCCACCGAUGUGCAUUGUGCAUUCCACAGACUCUUUAGGGGAAAGACAUUUUAAUGUAGAUCAUCUUACACGCACGCGUUGCGCCUUAACGAACUUUCGAUCCGAAGCGCCGCGUGCCGGUAAAAUUCUAGCGAGGGAAAGCGGAACUUCCUUCGGUCUUGUUUAAGCGAAAUUUAAAUAGUUGUACUUCGAAUAAAAUUUCGAAUAUUAUUUCAAUUAAAAUCGUAGGAAAAGUGGAACUUCGUUCGAUCUUCUCUAUAUCAAAAUUUAAAUACUUCUCUCUCGAAUAAAAUUUCGAACGCUGUUGCAAUUAAAAUUCCACUUUCGUGACUACUUUUCAAAUCAACAUAUACAUAAAAUACAAUAUUUUAUUUAAAACUGAAGAUCUACAUUUGAAUGAAGUUAUGGUAGAAAUUUGUAUUCCAAAAUAAUGUAAAUUACUUUCUGUAGAAUGAAAUGGAAAUAUGUUGACUCUGUGGUGAGGUUGUGAAGUAAUAAAAAAUAAAAAUCGGAAUCUAUAAGCUAGAAUUAUAAGGCUCACCCUACUUGGAGCUUAUUAAGACAGUUAAGCAUCAUGUGUUCCUUGAGAGUGAAAUUAUGACAAUGUUUAUACCGUCUGGGUUACUUAAGAACCCCACAGUAGUAGUUAAGGGAUAAUCUUAGUUAUAUUAACUUUGUCGUAUAAAGUAUCAAAAGUACUCUGUACAUAUACUGUCAAAUACAUGAUUCAAAAUACUAUAAAAUACAUCUACUAUUAAUCCUUUUUAUAUUUCGAAAAUGUAAAAUUAAAAUAAAUUGUUUAACAGUAUUUCGGAAAUUAUACGUAAUUACUAACUAAAUUUUAACAAUUUCCAAAGGAAUAACAGAAUAUGUAAAAAAUAUAAAAAGGAAAAGAAAUAUUCCAAAUGCGUCAAAAUUAAAAAAAUCCUGCAUGAUAGCAGUUUUAAAACCGAUAACAGGCAUAUAAAAAACGAAUAUUCAUCGUGCGAUAAAAAAAAAAUAAAUUUUCUCCAGCUACAACACGUCCAUAAAUCGCAUCUUGUGUUACGUUCCACUUUUCAGCACGGGAAAACAUUUCUCGCUUUACGAUGAUCGCUGUUUACUUCUCGGAACCUGGUGAAUUUUCCGUAUAUACGUUUCUAUGGAGAUAAGAAAAUUCACGAACUGAUAAAACUUCUCUUCAAGAGGGAGGAGGCGGGCAUUUGAAAUGCAUGAGAAAGCGUAGAAUAGUACAAUGAAGAAGGAAAAAAGAUUAUUUUAAAAGUUUUACCACUAGCCGCCUUUAACGAUCUCCACUUUUUUUAUUUUUCCAUCAUCUUCCUCUCUUAUGUUUUCGAUUAUCGAGAACGCGUGGGCGCAUCGACACGUCACGGAUCGACGACAUCAAACUUUCUUUCAACCAUCUGCACGCCGAUGACGUAAGACAAAUGAUCAUGAACCGUUGCAAGGAAAAUGAUCAGCAAAAGUGCAUCAGACAUUCAUCCGCUGGUGCAGUCGAAAUUAGUCAUGGACUGUCAUUUCGAAAUAACUGAUGGAUCUAUCCAACGCCGAGUCUGGCCUAUUUUGAACCAAUAUAUUUAUGAUAACAUCGUUCGAUCGUGAAUGCCUUUUUAAAAUUUGCCUGAACGUACUCUUGCAAUUUCUAUCUGAGAAGAGGGCAAAAAGAAUUCGAAAACGGAU